GCCUUUGUGGUGUAGUGAUCAGCGCACUCGAUACGUGUUCGAGAGGUCCGUGGUUCGAAUCCUGGCGAGGGCA
rnacentral:tRNA from 1 species